rnacentral:rRNA from 1 species
CGGGGGAAUCUUCCACAAUGGGCGCAAGCCUGACGGAGCAACGCCGCGUGAGUGAAGAAGGGUUUCGACUCGUAAAGCUCUGUUGUCGGGGACGAACGUGGAGACUAUGAAUAAUGGUUUUCAAUGACGGUACCUGACGAGGAAGCCACGGCUAACUACGUGCCAGCAGCCGCGGUAAUACGUAGGUGGCGAGCGUUGUCCGGAAUUAUUGGGCGUAAAGGGAGCGCAGGCGGGAGGUCAAGUCUAUCUUAAAAGUAGCGGGGCUCAACCCCGUGAGGGGAUGGAAACUGGUCUUCUUGAGUGCAGGAGAGGAAAGCGUGGGGAUCGAACAGGAUUAGAUACCCUGGUAGU